rnacentral:rRNA from 1 species
GAUCCUGGCUCAGGAUGAACGCUAGCUACAGGCUUAACACAUGCAAGUCGAGGGGCAGCGGGAUUGAAGCUUGCUUCAAUUGCCGGCGACCGGCGCACGGGUGAGUAACGUGUAUCCAACCUUCCGUACACUCAGGGAUAGCCUUUCGAAAGAAAGAUUAAUACCUGGUGGUAUCUUAAGCACACAUGUAAUUAAGAUUAAAGAUUUAUCGGUGUACGAUGGGGAUGCGUUCCAUUAGGUAGUAGGG